rnacentral:miRNA from 10 species
GGAUCUUGUUAAAAUGCAGCUUCAGAUUCAGUAGGUUUGAGGAAGAGCCCAAGAUUCUGCAUUUCUAACAAGUUC